GAUGAACGCUAGCUACAGGCUUAACACAUGCAAGUCGAGGGGUAACAAGAGAAAAGCUUGCUUUUCUUGUUGACGACCGGCGCACGGGUGAGUAACGCGUAUCCAACCUGCCUAUAACUAGGGAAUAACCUUGCGAAAGUAAGACUAAUACCCUAUGAUUUCCUUUGAUGACAUCAGAUUAGGAAUAAAGAUUUAUCGGUUAUAGAUGGGGAUGCGUCUGAUUAGCUUGUUGGCGGGGUAACGGCCCACCAAGGCAACGAUCAGUAGGGGUUCUGAGAGGAAGGUCCCCCACAUUGGAACUGAGACACGGUCCAAACUCCUACGGGAGGCAGCAGUGAGGAAUAUUGGUCAAUGGGCGGAAGCCUGAACCAGCCAAGUAGCGUGCAGGAUGACGGCCCUAUGGGUUGUAAACUGCUUUUAUACAGGAAUAAAGUUAGCCACGUGUGGUUAUUUGUAGGUACUGUAUGAAUAAGGACCGGCUAAUUCCGUGCCAGCCGCCGCAGUAUAC
rnacentral:rRNA from 1 species